rnacentral:rRNA from 1 species
UACGUAGGGUGCAAGCGUUAAUCGGAAUUACUGGGCGUAAAGCGAGCGCAGACGGUUAUUUAAGCCAGAUGUGAAAUCCCCGAGCUUAACUUGGGACGUGCAUUUGGAACUGGAUAGCUAGAGUAUGUCAGAGGGAGGUAGAAUUCCACGUGUAGCAGUGAAAUGCGUAGAGAUGUGGAGGAAUACCGAUGGCGAAGGCAGCCUCCUGGGAUAACACUGACGUUCAUGCUCGAAAGCGUGGGUAGCAAACAGGAUUA